UACGAAGGGGGCUAGCGUUGCUCGGAAUCACUGGGCGUAAAGCGCACGUAGGCGGUUUGUUAAGUCAGGGGUGAAAUCCUGGAGCUCAACUCCAGAACUGCCUUUGAUACUGGCGAUCUUGAGGCCGGGAGAGGGUAGCGGAAUUCCCAGUGUAGCGGUGAAAUGCGUAGAUACUGGGAGGAACACCGGUGGCGAAGGCGGCUACCUGGACCGGAACUGACGCUGAGGCGCGAAAGCGUGGGUAGCAAACAGG
rnacentral:rRNA from 1 species